ensembl:lncRNA
AAACAAAGUUACUCUUUAGAGCUCGCCCAUAUGCGAGCUUUGCCAGAGAUGCAUCGGAUUUUUUGAGUCAAACUGUGAAGAAUUAUGGAGUUUUAAAUAGCACUUAGUUCACUCCCGCUUUAUUCCGCUGUCACUCAUUGUGUGGCAGGGUUACAUAAGUGCACACCGAAGGCUCUUAGAUUAGCAUAAAGACCAGCUGCAGACUUUAAAAAGCUGCAAUCAAGUUUCUCAAUAAAUCUGUACAUGCCAAUUAGACUCAUUGAACACUUGUUCAAAAAAGAAAACACAAUCCAAUGUGCUUUCCAGCAAAGUUUAAGUGUAGAGUGAGCAGAGAAAAAUUAAUCUGAGGAGGCCAAACACUUUCAUUGCAUUGACUUAUAUAGCCAGAAAGCAUCCCUGCUAAAUGUUAUGGAACACUGAUGAUGUAAAUCCACUUACAGGACUCUGCUUCUAUUCUCAGAGAGGACAAGAACACAUUUUUCAUUGUCCAGUCUAUCACAGCCACUCCCAGCGGCCCGGCGAAACAUUAGUACAGCUUGCUCGGCUUUGUGCCGGAGGGCCGGGACGCGGAGCAUAAGGACGGCCUUCAGUGCGGCUGAACAAAGGCAUUUGGGGCCAUUCAUGUAGGACAAACACAGAGGAUGGUUGUGGGUGGAGGGCAUUUCACCUUCCGUCGGGCGAGUUGCAAGGAGCUAAUUUGAGAUGCAUUAGUGAAUGUUGUACAUAAAAUAUGUACGAUGCGUAGCCAUGUUUAAAAUAUUAACCAUACACAUUAUGAAUAGCCUACAUAUCGUGCCAAAACAAUGUGGUGCAGCACGUGAUAACAUCGUUUUCUGCACGACUGGCUUGUAGACAGUGCUGCUGUCCUAUUUUUACCUUUACAGUUGCUCAAACAAAAGGUGGAGUGUAUAUGGGAAAGGAGAUGUAGACAUGUUGUAUUGUGAGACUGAGGCAGGAGCUUCAACAGAAGCUGCUCAAAUUUCACGUCAUUAUUACUUUUUACUGCACAAUAAAAAGAACACGAGAUCUCUCGUUCAAUUACUCAAAUUUUUGUAGAAAAAUAAAACAAGAAGGAAAAUGGAUUAUUGUAAUCGCAUGUUUAGUAGAUAGUAGUUUAGUGGCAUGUCUUUGGAAAUUUAAAUAAAACAAUGAUCACUACACCGAUAAUAACCAAGCACAUAGAAAAUACAUGUUUACAAUACAUUUUUGUUUUUAAUCAAGGUAAAUUGGGUACAUUUUUCUAACUCCUCCGAGAUUUAGUCUACAUAACUACUACUUUUACAAAUAAGCGUCCUUAAAAAAUUGUUUUAUAUUAUUGUUUCAACGCCACACAAUACAAUGUUCUCGUGCAAUGAUGAUGUGGUCAUUUUCAGCUAAAUGAAUGUGCACAUGUCAUGAAAACUGGGUGAAAAUCUCUUUCAAAUUCCCGUCAGAUUUAGGAAGAAACUACACAACAGCUACAUAGGCUGCUGAGGGCAGAUGGUUCUGUGCUCAUUUGAUAACUGUAAUCUAAUAUAGAUGUGCCGAAAGCCCAUCAAAAGUUGGCAUGGAAUAUUUUGUCAAUUCGAGAAAGACAAACAUCAGCCAGGCCUCGAUAUUUACCAUAGAGACGACUGAAUGUCAAGAGAGAUGUGGGCGAAAGGGCUGAAAAUAGAGCCUAUCUCUGAAAAUGUACAGUCAGAUGAAAAAAACAAGCCAGUGACCUUGUUACUGUAACUUUAGAAUUUUUUUCUUCUUCUUGGAAUCCCUUAAAAAGGUGGCUUCAAAGCCUCACUCUCUAACUACAUUCUAGUAAAGUAAGAACUCAAAAUAUUGACACUCUCUUUAUUUUUCUCAAACCAAAACACAGUAAUUUGAUGUUGUCAUUUCAAAUUUUGUCACAGAAAGCCCACGUUUGAAGGCAAGACACAUGUCAAGAUUUCCUUCAUGUCGCAACAAACAUCUUGGCAUAAUCUGAAGUGGUUGCAUUUGUUUGUGGACACCCAUUAUGCAAAUGUGGCAUCAUGCAGAAAUUCCUUAAAUCCAUCCUCCAUGCUGAAACCGAUUAUAUCAAAAUCAUUCUGUCUGUUUGAGUCGCAUGUUAAUCUGGUGAAACCGAGCUCAUCUUGUCUUUUGCUAUUGUGAUAAACAAGCAAUGAAUAUGCAUGAGGGACAGUUUAAUACAGUAAUUUCUUCUGACGGCGCACUAAUGCCUGUCAGUGGCAAUGCUGGGGAAUAAUAUUGAUGAGAUGUGUUUAAACAGCACUUCCAACCCCCUCCCCUCCACUCCCCUUCCCUUCCCUCCCGUCCCCUCCCCCAGCACCGACUGGCGAGAUGAACACCAACAAAGAUCAUUUCAUCCUAAAGUGCGUCCCCCUGCUGAGACUUAGAAGCACUCCAGGAGACAACAAACAAGCGGCCUGUCCGAACUUUUAAGACCAGUUGGCACGCGCUCCCAAACAAACAUCCCCAACGCACACCCUCGUAUUGGCCGCCUCCAGCCGCCCUUUGACUAAAAGCCCUUGUUUACUUGGUGGUUCCGUGUUGGCUUCCAGGCCGCUCUGACCUGGGAGCAGGGUGACUUUCCGCGGCCUCGCCCGCCAUGCAGCCACGGCCUCUGGCUGAAGGUCAAUUUGUUCGGGUUCACAACCGGCAGGGAACGAGGAGCCAAGGAGGAGAAAGAGAGGGGAAACCGGCACGAAUACAAACGUCGGUGACGGCAAAAAUAAC